GAGUUUGAUCAUGGCUCAGAUCGAACGCUGGCGGCAUGCCUUACACAUGCAAGUCGAACGGUAACAGGUCUUCGGACGCUGACGAGUGGCGAACGGGUGAGUAAUACAUCGGAACGUGCCCAGUCGUGGGGGAUAACUACUCGAAAGAGUAGCUAAUACCGCAUACGAUCUGAGGAUGAAAGCGGGGGACCUUCGGGCCUCGCGCGAUUGGAGCGGCCGAUGGCAGAUUAGGUAGUUGGUGGGAUAAAAGCUUACCAAGCCGACGGUCUGUAGCUGGUCUGAGAGGACGACCAGCCACACUGGGACUGAGACACGGCCCAGACUCCUACGGGAGGCAGCAGUGGGGAAUUUUGGACAAUGGGCGAAAGCCUGAUCCAGCAAUGCCGCGUGCAGGAUGAAGGCCUUCGGGUUGUAAACUGCUUUUGUACGGAACGAAAAAGCUUCUCCUAAUACGAGAGGCCUAUGACGGUACCGUAAGAAUAAGCACCGGCUAACUACGUGCCAGCAGCCGCGGUA
rnacentral:rRNA from 1 species